rnacentral:rRNA from 1 species
UCUGGUGGCGAUGGCGCGGUGGUCACACCUGUUCCCAUCCCGAACACAGAAGUUAAGCACCGUAGUGGCGAAGGUAUCCGUUGGAGAGAAUAGCGAGCCGCCGGGC